rnacentral:rRNA from 1 species
AUCGAUGAAGAACGCAGCGAAAUGCGAUAAGUAGUGUGAAUUGCAGAAUUCAGUGAAUCAUCGAAUCUUUGAACGCACAUUGCGCCCCUUGGUAUUCCAUGGGGCAUGCCUGUUCGAGCGUCAUUUGUACCUUCAAGCUUUGCUUGGUGUUGGGUGUUUGUCUCGCCUUUGCGUGUAGACUCGCCUUAAAACAAUUGGCAGCCGGCGUAUUGAUUUCGGAGCGCAGUACAUCUCGCGCUUUGUAUUCAUAACGACGACAUCCAAAAGUCAUUUUUUACACUCUUGACCUCGGAUCAGGUAGGGAUACCCGCUGAACUUAAGCAUAUCAAUAAGCGGAGGAAAAGAAACCAACAGGGAUUGCCCUAGUAACGGCGAGUGAAGCGGCAACAGCUCAAAUUUGAAAUCUGGCCUCUUUGGGGUCCGAGUUGUAAUUUGCAGAGGGCGCUUUGGCGUUGGCAGCGGUCCAAGUUCCUUGGAACAGGACGUCACAGAGGGUGAGAAUCCCGUACGUGGUCGCUGGCCUUCGCCGUGUAAAGCCCCUUCGACGAGUCGAGUUGUUUGGGAAUGCAGCUCUAAAUGGGAGGUAAAUUUCUUCUAAAGCUAAAUACUGGCCAGAGACCGAUAGCGCACAAGUAGAGUGAUCGAAAGAUGAAAAGCACUUUGGAAAGAGAGUUAAAAAGCACGUGAAAUUGUUGAAAGGGAAGCGCUUGCAGCCAGACUUGCCUGUAGUUGCUCAUCCGGGUUUUUACCCGGUGCACUCUUCUAUAGGCAGGCCAGCAUCAGUUUGGGCGGUUGGAUAAAGGUCUCUGUCAUGUACCUCCUUUCGGGGAGAACUUAUAGGGGAGACGACAUGCAACCAGCCUGGACUGAGGUCCGCGCAUCUGCUAGGAUGCUGGCGUAAUGGCUGUAAGCGGCCCGUCUUGAAACACGG